rnacentral:rRNA from 1 species
GAUGAACGCUGGCGGCAUGCCUAAUUACAUGCAAGUCGAACGGGAGGAAGGAAAGCUUGCUUUCCUGAAUCUAGUGGCGAACGGGUGAGUAAACACGUAGGUAACCUGCCCAUGUGCCCGGGAUAACUUCUGGAAACGGUAGCUAAAACCGGAUAGGUAUGAGGGAGGCAUCUUCCUCAUAUUAAAGCACCUUCGGGUGUGAACAUGGAUGGACCUGCGGCGCAUUAGCUGGUUGGUGAGGUAACGGCCCACCAAGGCGAUGAUGCGUAGCCGACCUGAGAGGGUGAACGGCCACAUUGGGACUGAGACACGGCCCAAACUCCUACGGGAGGCAGCAGUAGGGAAUUUUCGUCAAUGGGGGGAACCCUGAACGAGCAAUGCCGCGUGUGUGAAGAAGGUCUUCGGAUCGUAAAGCACUGUUGUAAGUGAAGAAUGCCAUAUAGAGGAAAUGCUAUGUGGGUGACGGUAGCUUACCAGAAAAGCCACGGCUAACUACGUGCCAGCCGCCGCC